rnacentral:rRNA from 1 species
CCAAUAGCGUAUAUUAAAGUUGUUGCAGUUAAAAAGCUCGUAGUUGAAUUUCGGGGUUAGUAGAUUGGUCAUGCCUCUGGUAUGCACUGGUCUCACUGAUUCCUCCUUCCUGAUGAGCCGUAAUGCCAUUAAUUUGGUGUUGCGGGGAAUUUGGACUGUUACUUUGAAAAAAUUAGAGUGUUUAAAGCAAGCUAACGCUUGAAUACAUUAGCAUGGAAUAAUGAAAUAGGACGUUCGAUCCUAUUUUGUUGGUUUCUAGGAUUGACGUAAUGAUUAAUAGGGAUAGUUGGGGGCAUUAGUAUUCAAUUGUCAGAGGUGAAAUUCUUGGAUUUAUUGAAGACUAACUACUGCGAAAGCAUUUGCCAAGGAUGUUUUCAUUAAUCAAGAACGAAAGUUAGGGGAUCGAAGACGAUCAGAUACCGUCGUAGUCUUAACCAUAAACUAUGCCGACUAGGGAUCGGAUGAAGUUAAUUUUUUAAUGACUCAUUCGGCGCCUUACG